rnacentral:lncRNA from 1 species
CUUAACUGGACCACAGGAUGCCCAGACUUUUAGCCAAACAUUAUCCUGUGUGUGUCUGGGAGACUGUUUCUGGAUGACAUGGACAUUUGAAUCCAUAGACUGAGUAAAGCAGAUUGCCCUCCCGAAUGGAGGUAGGCCUCAUCUAGUGAGGUGAAGACGUGACUACAAUGAAAAGGCUGAGUAAGAGGGAAUGCGUCCUACCUGACUUGUUUGAGUUGGGAUCAUGGUCUUUCUCAGCCUUCAGACUCGGACUGAAACAGCAGCUCUUCUUGGAUCUCCAGCCUGCCGACUUUCAGCUUGGAACUUAUGCCAUCAGCUCUCAUGGUUCUCAGACCUUCAGACUUGAACUAGAACUACAAACCAGUUUUCCUGGGUCUCCAACUUGUGGACUGCACGUCUUGGGACUUCUCAGCCUCCCUAAUUGUAGCAGAGAAUGUUGAAUAUACGUUGAAGAUGCAUUUGAAAGAGAAGCUAAUACAUGGAGCAAGAACUGAAAGCAGAAAGAAGAUGGAUCAAGAGGACAGAUGGGGAAUCAAUAAAAAUAUGAAUGGAGAAACUUUGCCCUGAACUGGGAGGCAGAAAAUCUAGGAUCUAGCUCUGGUCCUGUCUGCAGAAAGCGAGAAAUGAGAGCGGACCACUCUAUGGAGCUUUCUUCUUCUUACUGAAACCAAAAUAAGAUUUCAAGCUACAUGACAAAGGAAUUCAGAGUUUGGGAAGAAUUGGUUUGUUGUGGUGCAUUCUUUCUAUAUGUGUAUUGCAAAAAAAAUUUAACCUAAAUCAUGUUUUGAGAUAUUACCUUCUUGUAAACUGUCUGAAAUAAAAAUCAAUAGCUUGAUUAUGUUUCUGUAAAAAUCUGUUAGAAAACUUAAAUGAAAUAAAAACAAGUCUUUUUACAACAGCUCCCAAACAAUGUAACACACAACAGAGAAAGAGGUGAGGUUGAAGGGAUAGGCGGGGUGGAGAACAUGCAGGCCUUAUCAUCAGGCACUUGGAAGCCAUGCCAGGGCUUAAGUGGGGCAUGACAUGGUUUGCAUUUUUUAAAAAACCCACUUUGGCUGCUGUAUAGAGAAUGAUUUGUGGGAGCCAAAGUGGACUAGAAGCCGGCUACAGCCCAAGUAAGCGGAGAUGGGGAAUUGAAUGUGUGUUUGUAAAAUGCUGAGCACAGGUUCUUGUGCAGAGUAAGCACUAAUUAAA